GUAGGUGGCAAGCGUUGUCCGGAAUUAUUGGGCGUAAAGGGCUCGCAGGCGGUUUCUUAAGGUCUGAUGUGAAAGCCCCCCGGGCUCAACCGGGGGAGGGUCAUUGGAAACUGGGGAACUUGAGUGCAGAAGAGGAGAGUGGAAUUCCACGUGUAGCGGUGAAAUGCGUAGAGAUGUGGAGGAACACCAGUGGCGAAGGCGACUCUCUGGUCUGUAACUGACGCUGAGGAGCGAAAGCGUGGGGAGCGAACAGGAUUAGAUACCCUGGUAGUCCACGCCGUAAACGAUGAGUGCUAAGUGUUAGGGGGUUUCCGCCCCUUAGUGCUGCAGCUAACGCAUUAAGCACUCCGCCUGGGGAGUACGGUCGCAAAGACUG
rnacentral:rRNA from 1 species